rnacentral:lncRNA from 1 species
CACAAAGCUGUCCUUGUUUGAAGACACUUGGGAAUUUCAGGUGUUGCCGUAAGUCUACUGAGCUCUCUGGGUGUCUAACCUUGCCUUCUUGUCAUCAGCUAUUAAAACUACUAAAACAGAAGAAUGCUUAACCACUACAGCUGUUAAAACAUUAGUACGUGCUUUGCACUUCGGGUUUCAGGAUCGAGAACAUCCUGGAAAUAAGAGCGGAAGCAGAAAAGCCAGCAGAGCAGGCCAUCACAAUAGACGUGGCGUGAGAUGUCAUGGAACUGGAGCAGUUAAACCUCAUUCUCCAGGGUACUGGUGCUACUGCCAAGAGCGGAAAACUUUCAUCUUCCAAAACCUCAAUCAGCCAGUUUCUCAUCUGCAUCCCAUAAAUCAUCAAGAAAGAACAAGCUCAUUAUCUCAGCACCAGGGACAAAAGUCUUUUACAUGACACUGAACUUCUGACUACUGCAAAACAUGGCAGCUUGCCAUCAUAUGUUUAACAGGUGUGUUGGUCCCUUUAACAGACUGGGCCAGAAGUUUGAGGAUAUGGUCUGAAAUUUCAAUUUUGUUACGUGUUGUGACUUGCACUGGGCCCAAAUCCAGAGGUAAUUGGGCCUAGUGGUCUGAAGAGUUACUUGGGUGUUCUGUAAUUUUAGUAGAUUUGGAGAAAGAGAGGUGGGGAUGUCUGUCCCUGAAGAUAUUUUCUCAUAGAAGCAAGGAAUUACAGGAACUUCUCUGUUGUGUUUUGGGUAAGUGUUUCCAUGCUGCUACUCUGAAUAAUAGGGUAGAUAUUUCCAGGUACAGGCUGUUAAAAUUUGCUAUAUUACCUCCAUUCUGUAUGUAGUUCCUUCUCUACAUAACAGUGUUGGUUAGGUAGUGGAACCUUCUAAAUGACGCACUAUGUGAUUCCUGUGUCAUAUAGAAUGUUCUAUGAUUCUUAGCCAGAUAAUCAUAUUCCCAGAAAAGGCCUCUCAACUUUCACCUGCCUUUCUAAGGACUGAAAUACUCUGAGUGUUGCAUAAAGGGUGUUCCAAAUAUGGGCAUUCACCUGUUUCCUGAUUAAAAAAAGAUAAUUUGGUAUGAA